GACGGAGGAUGCAAGUGUUAUCCGGAAUCACUGGGCGUAAAGCGUCUGUAGGUGGUUUAAAAAGUCCGCUGUUAAAUAUUGAAGCUUAACUUCAAAAAUGCCGUGGAAACUUUUAGACUAGAGUAUGGUAGGGGUAGAGGGAAUUUCCAAUGGAGCGGUGAAAUGCGUAGAUAUUGGAAAGACCACCGAUGGCGAAGGCACUCUACUGGGCCAUUACUGACACUCAGAGACGAAAGCUAGGGGAGCAAAUGGG
rnacentral:rRNA from 1 species